rnacentral:rRNA from 1 species
GGAGUACGGCCGCAAGGUUAAAACUCAAAGGAAUUGACGGGGACCCGCACAAGCGGUGGAUUAUGUGGAUUAAUUCGAUGCAACGCGAAAAACCUUACCUACCCUUGACUUGUACGGAAGCCCGCAGAGAUGUGGGCGUGCCCGAAAGGGAGCCGUAACACAGGUGCCGCAUGGCUGUCGUCAGCUCGUGUCGUGAGAUGUUGGGUUAAGUCCCGCAACGAGCGCAACCCUUGUCAUUAGUUGCUACAUUCAGUUGGGCACUCUAAUGAGACUGCCGGUGACAAACCGGAGGAAGGUGGGGAUGACGUCAAGUCCUCAUGGCCCUUAUGGGUAGGGCUUCACACGUAAUACAAUGGCCGGUACAGAGGGCUGCCAACCCGCGAGGGGGAGCAAAUCCCAGAAAGCCGGUCGUAGUCCGGAUUGUUCUCUGCAACUCGAGAGCAUGAAGUCGGAAUCGCUAGUAAUCGCGGAUCAGCAUGUCGCGGUGAAUACGUUCCCGGGUCUUGUACACACCGCCCGUCACACCAUGGGAGUGGGUUUCACCAGAAGUAGUUAGCCUAACCGCAAGGAGGGCGACUACCACGGUGAGAUUCAUGACUGGGGUGAAGUCGUAACAAGGUAGCCGUAUCGGAAGGUGCGGCUGGAUCACC